UNUGACUUGAGUGCAGAAGGGGAGAGUGGAAUUCCAUGUGUAGCGGUGAAAUGCGUAGAUAUAUGGAGGAACACCAGUGGCGAAAGCGGCUCUNUGGUCUGUCACUGACGCCGAGGCUNGAAAGCGUGGGUAGCGAACAGGAUUAGAUACCCUGGUAGUCCACGCCGUAAACGAUGAGUGCUAGGUGUUAGGCCCUUUCCGGGGCUUAGUGCCGGAGCUAACGCAAUAAGCACUCCGCCUGGGGAGUACGACCGCAAGGUUGAAACUCAAAGGAAUUGACGGGGGCCCGCACAAGCGGUGGAGCAUGUGGUUUAAUUCGAAGCAACGCGAAGAACCUUACCAGGUCUUGACAUCCCGAUGCUAUUCUUAGAGAUAGGAAGUUACUUCGGUACAUCGGAGACAGGUGGUGCAUGGUUGUCGUCAGCUCGUGUCGUGGGAUGUUGGGUUAAGUCCCGCAACGAGCGCAACCCUUAUUGUUAGUUGCCAUCAUUAAGUUGGGCACUCUAGCGAGACUGCCGGUAAUAAACCGGAGGAAGGUGGGGAUGACGUCAAAUCAUCAUGCCCCUUAUGACCUGGGCUACACACGUGCUACAAUGGUCGGUACAACGAGUUGCGAGCCGGUGACGGCAAGCUAAUCUCUGAAAGCCGAUCUCAGUUCGGAUUGGAGGCUGCAACUCGCCUCCAUGAAGUCGGAAUCGCUAGUAAUCGCGGAUCAGCACGCCGCGGUGAAUACGUUCCCGGGCCUUGUACACACCGCCCGUCACACCACGAGAGUUUGUAACACCCGAAGUCGGUGAGGUAACCUUUUAGGGGCCAGCCGC
rnacentral:rRNA from 1 species